AUUGAACGCUGGCGGCAUGCCUUACACAUGCAAGUCGAACGGCAGCACGGGUGCUUGCACCUGGUAGCGAGUGGCGAACGGGUGAGUAAUACAUCGGAACAUGUCCUGUAGUGGGGGAUAGCCCGGCGAAAGCCGGAUUAAUACCGCAUACGAUCUACGGAUGAAAGCGGGGGACCUUCGGGCCUCGCGCUAUAGGGUUGGCCGAUAGCUGAUUAGCUAGUUGGUGGGGUAAAGGCCUACCAAGGCGACGAUCAGUAGCUGGUCUGAGAGGACGACCAGCCACACUGGGACUGAGACACGGCCCAGACUCCUACGGGAGGCAGCAGUGGGGAAUUUUGGACAAUGGGCGAAAGCCUGAUCCAGCAAUGCCGCGUGUGUGAAGAAGGCCUUCGGGUUGUAAAGCACUUUUGUCCGGAAAGAAAUCCUUGGCUCUAAUACAGUCGGGGGAUGACGGUACCGGAAGAAUAAGCACCGGCUAACUACGUG
rnacentral:rRNA from 1 species